GGGGGGGCAUACUAUCACUGUCUCCUUCACUGGAGGGUUCUCCAUGGGGGGCGCCACCACCACGGACACUCCCCAACGCCACGACGCUCCCAGCACCUCCUCGCACACAUUCCUCACAUAGCCCCACUAUUGGCCUGUCCGUCUCCCUCUCCUGUCGGCUCCAGACGCUGCCCUGCCCCUCAGUUCAUCAGACGAGACGUUUGGCGGUCCCGCCGUCUCCCAUGGCUCUGGAAAAGUGGUCAUCACGGGAGGAAUCUGCUGCCGUGGCUGGGGUAGGCUUCAUCCUCAGCGGCUCCUGGCUCCCCUGAAGCCUAGCGCUCCCCUGGGAUGAGGCUGACUGGCAGGCAGGCGGAGGCCCGGCAGAUGAUAGAUCCCACCACCACCACCACCACCGCCGCCGCCGCCGCCGCCGCCACCGCCGCCGCCGCCGCCGCCGCCGCCCGCCACACAGCGCCACCAGCACCACCAGCACCACCAGCACCACAUUACUGCCACCAGGAGAGCCACGCUUGACAGGGACAGGGGUGGGCGAGGUGCCGCGGCGCCGGCCGUGACCAUCGCUGAACCUCGGGACGAGGGGGCGAAGGCGGUCAGCCGCCGCCGCCGCGGAUGAGCGCCCGUGUGUGUGUACGUGUGUGCGCGUGUGGACACCUGUCUGUCCCGUGUACACCUGUGAGUGUGUGUGUAAGUGUAAGUGUUUGUGUACAUCAAUGCAAUUUUGUAACCUAAUGAAAUAAGUGUGGGUGGGUGGGUGUGUGUGUCUGUGUGUGUGUGCAUGAUCACAAUUUUGUAAUCUAAUAGUGAACUGGUGUGUGUUUGUGUGUGUUUGUGUGUGUGUUUAUGGGGUUGUGGGGGGUAGUUUGUUUACCAUGUGCUCGCACAUCUUUGUUUAUGCGUUAAUAAAUGUGAAAUGUGGCAAUGUGAUCACAUGGAUAUUUUGGAGCGUGAAUUUAAGACAAUUGGACAACUGUUACGAAUUCAAUAUUUUUUUCUCCUCCUCAUUUCUCCCAUCUGGACCUAAGUGUCUUAUCAGCAGUAGGAUGUUACUUAUUAUUUUAAUAACUGACAAAAUAUCAGCCGUGUGUAAUGUGCCAAAUUUGUCACGUCUGUUAACGGAUCUUCCAAAAUCGAAAACAGAUGCUAAAUGACACAUGUUGAAGUUUGACUACCUGAAUAAAUGAAUAAUUUCAAAACAAAGUGCUGCAUUUGGGAGGAUACUAUGCGAAAAAGGAGGACAACUUUUUAAUCACAACAUAUAACCGAAACGUACAGACUGUAAUAAUUUCAUACGAUCUGACAAACAACAGACUGACU
ensembl:lncRNA